CCUACGGGUGGCUGCAGUCGAGAAUCAUUCACAAUGGGGGAAACCCUGAUGGUGCGACGCCGCGUGGGGGAAUGAAGGUCUUCGGAUUGUAAACCCCUGUCAUGUGGGAGCAAAUUAAAAAGAUAGUACCACAAGAGGAAGAGACGGCUAACUCUGUGCCAGCAGCCGCGGUAAUACAGAGGUCUCAAGCGUUGUUCGGAAUCACUGGGCGUAAGGCGUGCGUAGGCUGUUUCGUAAGUCGUGUGUGAAAGGCGCGGGCUCACCCCGCGGACGGCACAUGAUGCUGCGAGACUAGAGUAAUGGAGGGGGAACCGGAAUGCUCGGGGUAGCAGUGAAAUGCGUAGAUAUCGAGAGGAACACUCGUGGCGAAGGCGGGUUCCUGGACAUUAACUGACGCUGAGGCACGAAGGCCAGGGGAGCGAAAGGGAUUAGAUACCCGAGUAGUC
rnacentral:rRNA from 1 species